CCCACCCCACCCUCCUCCUCUAACCAAAAAAAAGACUGUCUGGAGCGUCCAUAAGCACAACGAUUUCCUCUGAGCCAGGAGAGAGUGCGAGGGGACUGCUGGAAAGGUACGCGAGGGCCAGCAGCUUUGCAGCCUUGGAAGCUCCAGGAGAGGUGGUUGCUACUCAGUCUGCAAGUAGAACAUGAGACACUUCAUUUUGAGAAGCUUUUGGAGGGGAGGCUGCCUGGGCUGGUUGGUGACGGGCUUGGUGUCUUGGUGGAACGUGGAGUAGAAAGUUGGCUACCAGCAGUUCCAUUCACUAAAAGAAGAAAUAUGAG